UACGUAGGGGGCAAGCGUUGUCCGGAAUCAUUGGGCGUAAAGAGCGUGUAGGCGGUCCGAUAAGUCGGUUGUGAAAGUCCAGGGCUCAACCCUGGGAUGCCGACCGAUACUGUCGGACUAGAGUUUGGAAGAGGCGAGUGGAAUUCCCGGUGUAGCGGUGAAAUGCGCAGAUAUCGGGAGGAACACCAAUGGCGAAGGCAGCUCGCUGGGACGUGACUGACGCUGAGACGCGAAAGCGUGGGGAGCAAACAGG
rnacentral:rRNA from 1 species